UGCCCCAUGGCUGAGUUGGUUACAGCGUCCGACUGUUAUUCAUCAUAACAUCGGAAGGUCGUGAGUUCGAGCCUCACUGGGGCAG
rnacentral:tRNA from 1 species